rnacentral:rRNA from 1 species
GAUGAACGCUGGCGGCGUGCCUAAUACAUGCAAGUCGAGCGAAUGGAUUAAGAGCUUGCUCUUAUGAAGUUAGCGGCGGACGGGUGAGUAACACGUGAGUAACCUGCCCAUAAGACUGGGAUAACUCCGGGAAACCGGGGCUAAUACCGGAUAACAUUUUGAACCGCAUGGUUCGAAAUUGAAAGGCGGCUUCGGCUGUCACUUAUGGAUGGACCCGGGUCGCAUUAGCUAGUUGGCGAGGUAACGGCUCACCAAGGCAACGAUGCGUAGCCGACCUGAGAGGGUGAUCGGCCACACUGGGACUGAGGCACGGCCCAGACUCCUACGGGAGGCAGCAGUAGGGAAUCUUCCGCAAUGGACGAAAGUCUGACGGAGCAACGCCGCGUGAGUGAUGAAGGCUUUCGGGUCGUAAAACUCUGUUGUUAGGGAAGAACAAGUGCUAGUUGAAUAAGCUGGCACCUUGACGGUACCUAACCAGAAAGCCACGGCUAACUACGUGCCAGCAGCCGCUGUAA